GAAGCGGAAUUGUCUAAAAUCGCCACGGGGAUCGGCAAAGUCUUUUUGCACAACCUGAAGGAACGUGAGAAAUUCAGACAGUGGAAAACGAGCCAUUUGGAUCCACGCAACGCUUCACGAACUCCUUCUGCACACAAGGUAAAAUACAUUUUCUUUCAAUUUCAAUUCGAUUUGAUUUUAAAUUAUCUUAACAGGAGCCGCCGUUGCGUUUGCGCUACGAGAGUCCAAUCAACGCAUCGCCUUCAAGUUUCAAGGAUCAUCCGCGACCUUUCGAUUACGAGGAACCCGAACUGGACAGGCAAUCCACCCAUCGCUCGUCUCUCGGUCGAUCCAUCGGCACUCUGCCUACCUACAACGCGUUCCGUGUUAGACACGGAAUUUGAAGCCAUUUUCCAGAUGACGCGCUCCGACUUCUACCACAUCCCGCCCUGGAAGCGCAAUGAAAUCAAGAAACGCUUCCGGCUGUUCUAGGACAAAAACUAAUUGACGCGGGAUUGUCCCAGCAGCUGAAGAAUUCUUUGGCUACAGACAACAUCAUCAACAACAACACCACAAAGGAUUCGACGGAAUUUGUUAUAUUUUGUUUCCCCUUUUUUUUCUUGUUUCACGAGGUGGGAUAGGGUGGGAGGGAAUGACAGUUGGAUACUCUAUUGAGUAGAAACUUUGCAGCUUUGUUUGCGCUUUCGUCUAAAAAGUAGGCGAACGAAAGAUAUUUUCAUUGGCAUUAUUAUUAUUAACGUACCAGAAGCUAUUAGAGCUUCAAUCAAAACAAUCGGGGAUGGGCAGACUCUUUCAAACUAUAUGUAAAAAAACAAAAAAAGUGAAACUCUUAACCAGUUUCUCGUCUAUUUUGAAGAAGAAAAAGAAAAGAGUUGCGUAGAACCCGAUGAUAUUGAACACACCCAGUCGGAACUGGUUUCAACCAGUUCAGUACAUAAUGAAUAACGAUCAAGUGGAACGACUUUUCUACGAUUGCAUACGGACAGCAUUGAGAAUGAUUUUUUUCAUUUUUUUUAAAUUAUUAUUCGUCCGAUUUAAAGUGAAGAAAACUAAAAUCAUUGGCAAUUAUUUUUUUUAAUGAGCACGUAAAUUCGGGAAGGAUUUAAAAGAAAAACCGUAAAAUGGCACUCGAUUUUUCGAGAGGGUGGGAUAUACUAGAGCAGCAUCCGUUUCUCUAAAAAAAAAACACACAAAGUAGAUUGAAUUAUAUUUUGCUAUAGAGCUAUCAAAUUAUUGUUUCUUUUCUUUCUUUCUUCUUCUCCCUCUGAACGGAAUAAUCCCCGACAAAAAGUGUUUUCCCCCCACAAUAUUAUUUGCUGAAAUACCUGGGUCACAUGUAUCACACGAGGGAGCUUUGAAUUUCCGAUUGGGUUUUGGUAUUUCAAGAGCAAUCAAGUUGUUUCCAAAUCUCUACUUUUUUCUUGUAAACAAUCUUUUUCAAGUGGGCAGCUUUAUAAACAUCACAAGAAACUAACAGGCAGCAGGUGCUCCCAAAUAUGAAGUGAAAAAAAAAAAUAUUUAUUAAAAAAAAAAAUACCAUUCAAUCGCAAAAUGGACGAGAGAUGUGUCUGGUUUUCUUCUAUUUCGAGGAACGUCACUCUUUUUUCGUAUUUAAAAAAAUUGCCCUUAACGUCAAUUAAAAAUUAGCAUUUUUGGCAUUUCACUUUCCUCUAUCUAAUGUUCUUCAUCUCUGUAAUCACACACCCAACUGUUGUGACUUACUUUUGGAUUCUCCCUUGUCUGUGUCCUAGUCGCUUCGGGAUUGCAAAAAAAAAAUUCAUUUAUUUAAAG